rnacentral:tRNA from 1 species
GUCGGAGUGGCGGAACUGGCAGACGCGCUGGACUCAGGAUCCAGUGGGAGCGAUCCCAUGGGGGUUCAAAUCCCCCCUCCGACACCA